rnacentral:rRNA from 1 species
AGGGUGAGUCGACCCCUAAGGCGAGGCCGAAAGGCGUAGUCGAUGGGAAACGGGUUAAUAUUCCCGUACUUGGUGUUACUGCGAAGGGGGGACGGAGAAGGCUAUGUUGGCCGGGCGACGGUUGUCCCGGUUUAAGCGUGUAGGUGUGUGUUCCAGGUAAAUCCGGUUCACUUUAACACUGAGGCGUGACGACGAGGCACUACGGUGCUGAAGCAACAAAUGCCCUGCUUCCAGGAAAAGCCUCUAAGCAUCAGGUAACAUCAAAUCGUACCCCAAACCGACACAGGUGGUCAGGUAGAGAAUACCAAGGCGCUUGAGAGAACUCGGGUGAAGGAACUAGGCAAAAUGGUGCCGUAACUUCGGGAGAAGGCACGCUGACACGUAGGUGAAGUGAUUUACUCAUGGAGCUGAAGUCAGUCGAAGAUACCAGCUGGCUGCAACUGUUUAUUAAAAACACAGCACUGUGCAAACACGAAAGUGGACGUAUACGGUGUGACGCCUGCCCGGUGCCGGAAGGUUAAUUGAUGGGGUCAGCGCAAGCGAAGCUCCUGAUCGAAGCCCCGGUAAACGGCGGCCGUAACUAUAACGGUCCUAAGGUAGCGAAAUUCCUUGUCGGGUAAGUUCCGACCUGCACGAAUGGCGUAAUGAUGGCCAGGCUGUCUCCACCCGAGACUCAGUGAAAUUGAACUCGCUGUGAAGAUGCAGUGUACCCGCGGCAAGACGGAAAGACCCCGUGAACCUUUACUAUAGCUUGACACUGAACAUUGAGCCUUGAUGUGUAGGAUAGGUGGGAGGCUUUGAAGUGUGGACGCCAGUCUGCAUGGAGCCGACCUUGAAAUACCACCCUUUAAUGUUUGAUGUUCUAACGUGGACCCGUUACCCGGGUUGCGGACAGUGUCUGGUGGGUAGUUUGACUGGGGCGGUCUCCUCCUAAAGAGUAACGGAGGAGCACGAAGGUUGGCUAAUCCUGGUCGGACAUCAGGAGGUUAGUGCAAUGGCAUAAGCCAGCUUGACUGCGAGCGUGACGGCGCGAGCAGGUGCGAAAGCAGGUCAUAGUGAUCCGGUGGUUCUGAAUGGAAGGGCCAUCGCUCAACGGAUAAAAGGUACUCCGGGGAUAACAGGCUGAUACCGCCCAAGAGUUCAUAUCGACGGCGGUGUUUGGCACCUCGAUGUCGGCUCAUCACAUCCUGGGGCUGAAGUAGGUCCCAAGGGUAUGGCUGUUCGCCAUUUAAAGUGGUACGCGAGCUGGGUUUAGAACGUCGUGAGACAGUUCGGUCCCUAUCUGCCGUGGGCGCUGGAGAACUGAGGGGGGCUGCUCCUAGUACGAGAGGACCGGAGUGGACGCAUCACUGGUGUUCGGGUUGUCAUGCCAAUGGCACUGCCCGGUAGCUAAAUGCGGAAGAGAUAAGUGCUGAAAGCAUCUAAGCACGAAACUUGCCCCGAGAUGAGUUCUCCCUGAGACUUAAAGUCUCCUGAAGGAACGUUGAAGACGACGACGUUGAUAGGCCGGGUGUGUAAGCGCAGCGAUG